CAUUAAGAAGCUACAGCAGCGUUAACCUUUUAAGUUGAAGAGUGAGAGUUUAACCUCUCCUUAAUGA
rnacentral:tRNA from 1 species